UUGAUCAUGGCUCAGAGUGAACGCUGGCUGUGUAGGCCUAACACAUGCAAGUCGAACGGCAGCACAGGAGAGCUUGCUCUCUGGGUGGCGAGUGGCGGACGGGUGAGGAAUACAUCGGAAUCUACUUUUUCGUGGGGGAUAACGUAGGGAAACUUACGCUAAUACCGCAUACGACCUACGGGUGAAAGCAGGGGAUCUUCGGACCUUGCGCGAUUGAAUGAGCCGAUGUCGGAUUAGCCAGUUGGCGGGGUAAAGGCCCACCAAGGCGACGAUCCGUAGCUGGUCUGAGAGGAUGAUCAGCCACACUGGAACUGAGACACGGUCCAGACUCCUACGGGAGGCAGCAGUGGGGAAUAUUGGACAAUGGGCGCAAGCCUGAUCCAGCCAUACCGCGUGGGUGAAGAAGGCCUUCGGGUUGUAAAGCCCUUUUGUUGGGAAAGAAAUCCAGCUGGCUAAUACCCGGUUGGGAUGACGGUACCCAAAGAAUAAGCACCGGCUAACUUCGUGCCAGCAGCCGCGGUAAUACGAAGGGUGCAAGCGUUACUCGGAAUUACUGGGCGUAAAGCGUGCGUAGGUGGUCAGUAUUAAGUCCGUUUGUGAAAGCCCUGGGCUC
rnacentral:rRNA from 1 species